ensembl:misc_RNA 7SK 7SK RNA
GGAUAUGAGCAUGAUUUAGCUGUGGCAUCUAUCACCUUACUGAUCACCAGGCUUGAUUUGGCUAAUCUCACUGAUUAAGUGGUCUGACUCUCCCCCUCACCACUCCAUGUGUAUCCUUCCCAAAGAUUUGUGCUUGGCCAAAGAGGACAAUGUUCUUCAACAGAAGAAGACUGUUGUUUAGUCAAGGAAAUAGGGGUAAGUGCACUCCUUUGCUAGGACCUCGAAGUAAGCUCUCAAGAAAUGGCAAGAAGUAAUAAGAAUAUACAUAUAUAGCUUGUUUACAUAU